GUAAGAGGGACUUUACGACGCUCUUAGGCUUAAGAUGCUUUCGGGAAACUGGGCCCUGGGUUCAUGCACUUGGCCUAGAACAGGAACAUUUUGGAGAGGGAAUGAGAGAAUGAACGCACACAAGAAACUUUUUAAUUAAACAUAGGCCUAAUUUACAAAGACAUUGUUAAACACUAAGGGCGGGUUGCACCAACAUGGUUUAACUUUUAAACUGGAUUAAAUCAUGGGUUACUGAGUAAUUUUGUUGCACCAACCUUAAACCUAGUUUAAAUUGAUCUUAAAUUAAACUCUGGUUAAAUUUAAACCCCAGUUAAUCCCAGUUUAAAUUCCUAUUUAAACCUAGAUUAAAUAUUAGUCUGUUGCACCAGUAAUUUUAAACCCAGGAUAAAACUGGCUUGGCAGUUUAAUUUAAACCACCCCUAGAGGAGGUUUAAGUGUUUUAGUAUAACUGACAACAUGGCUGCAUAUAUUUGCUUGAUGGAAUUAGAAGAAAGAGUUCCACACAGGAAUAUUCGAGAUAGGCUUAACCCUAUGCAAUUUUAUAGCAACAGUGAGUUUUUCCAUCGGUACAGAUUUACAAAAGAGUCUGUGAUAUACCUCAAUGGGAGAGUUGGACCAGCUAUCAAGCAUAGAAGUGAAAGGAAUGCUGCUGUGCCGCCACUUCUCCAGCUCUUGGUUGCUUUACGCUUUUAUGCCACAGGUUGUUUCCAAAUGGUUGAUGGGGAUCUUUUUGGAGUUCACAAGUCCACAGUCUGCAGAAUUGUCAACAGGGUGACAAAAGCUAUAGCAAGUUUGAGAGAUCAGUUCAUUCGUUUUGAGCAAAGGAGGGAGAUAACAGCUGGAUUCUACAGAAGAGCAGGGUUUCCGGGGGUAAUUGGCGCUAUUGACUGCACACACAUUUUAAUACCUAACCCAGGUGGUGAGAAUGGGGAACUUUUCCGUAAUCGAAAGGGCUUUUUCUCCAUCAAUGUCCAAGUUGUGUGUGAUGACCAGGCACAGAUUACAAGCAUUGUUGCAAGAUGGCCAAGAUCUACACAUGACAGUCGGAUUUUUGACAACAGUCAUCUCUGCAGUACUGGAGGGAGGGGAGAUAGGUGGAUAUCUAGUGGGUGACAGUGGCUAUGCAUGCCGCUCAUACCUAAUGACUCCACUUUUGAACCCUCAAACUCAGACUGAGAGGAACUACAACAAGUCUCAGAUUAAAACUAGAGAGGUGAUUGAGCGAGUGUUUGGGAUGUGGAAGCGGAGAUUUCACUGUUUAAAAUUUGGGCUGCGCACUAAACUGGACACUACUCUGACAAUAAUAGUGGCUGUGCUAUACAAUCUUGGUAAAAGAAUAGGAGAUGAGCUGCCAGAGGAGAAUGAGGAACCCCGUGAGGAUGAGGAGGUUGAAGAUGUGCAAGCAGGCCUACAAAAUGCUGCAAAUGUCAAUGGAAGUGCUGUGAGGAGAACACUGAUUGAAACCCACUUUGUAGCCUAAUCAAGGGAGGAACUGAUGGGACUUCCAUUUUGCAAUGCAAUAUUUAUUAAACAAUAUGAAACAACAAUAAACAAACAUUUAACAAAUAUUUAAUAUGCCUACAUCAUUCCAUGUAGAGCAUCAAGGGAGUCCUUAGGUGGCUGGCUCAUCUCUAAUUGUUGUUUCUGCAACGAGUUAAAACUUCCUUUUUAAGUAAGAGUACUUCCUUUUGUAACUUUGCAUUUUCAAUGUCCAGAAGACACCGCUCCUUCUCAAGUUCAAUUACUUCAUGGUGGGCAGAGAUCAUCUUGGUGCGCUUCUCAGGAGGUGUAACAGAGGGUAUUGUUGCUCUGUUAUCCUUCACUGACUGCAGGACAACAACCAUGUCAUCUAUUAAAAAAAACCCACACACACACAAAUUCUCUCAUUAGACCAGUUGCAUCAACUCAGAUCUACCACACCUUCGUACAUUCCUACAUGCAGAAUCCUGACGUUAGUCCUCUACUCUAUGUAGUGGGUCGGGUGGUUGAGACAGGAAGCGCAGCUCGAAGGCCGUCCCACUGACGCUGAUUAUUUGGAUCAGGUGGCAAGUAGCGCUUGCUUUUAAAUGUAGUGAGAUGCGGACAGGAGCACAACAGUGCGUGUGCGUUGAAGAGUGAGCUUUGUGAAAUAAGCUGUGAAAUAAGCUGUGCAAACAGGAAAACGUGAGUCUUUUCAGAAGGUUACGUCUAUUGGUCUUUAACACUAAACUUGUUUCCAUCGAGUAGCACUUAACACGGUUCAUUGUUUGUUUGUAGCUCGGCCUGGUGUCUGUGCGUAUGGUGACCAGUAAUGGUACACGCAGUUUCAAGUCUACUUUGCUCGCAUAAUAGCGAGUAGUGAAUCCACACUGGUUUGCAGCAACAUAAGUUUACUUGCUCCCCUUUUCCUUCAGACGUAACACGUAGUGUUUAUAGCUCUGACCGUUUCCUGUCUUGAUAUUGUCUAUGGGCAGAAGCAACGCUGAUGCUGGCGAGAGUGUGCACAGCUAUUAGUCAUCCACACUGGUAUAACUUCAUUGGCUCAUCCUAAUUCAUCUUGGCUGGUCUUAAAAACGAGGAUUGCCUUCGUCUGUCCAACAAGCCACUGUUUUUCCUGGAUUUAACUAUUUCGUUUUAUUUCAAUUCAUGUAUGUAUGUGCCUCGGAAAUCUACCACGUCUGUUGAAUGUUUACUGGGAACUUAGGUGGGCCUAGGGGGAAGCCUGCUGGUGGUAACCUGUUAGCUUAAAUGUUUUGUUUGUUUUUUUGUCUGUUUGUCUGGCAGUCAUUGUGAUACGUAUUCGGCCUGGGGAUUGUGCAAUAUUUCUUAAGGGGACAGUGCUUCGUUUGCAGUGCUCACUAGUGUAAAGUGUGAAACGCCGUGUCUGUGUGUACGGCCCAAUUGGUGUGAAGUGCCUCUUGCAGAUUGGAGUGUUUUAGAUUGUGUAUGUGAAAAGUAUUUAUUAAUGUAUUCGACUUAUUACACUGUAACUCAUCUGGAAGACCUAUUCAUUCAUUGUAACUUAUUGUAGAAUUUCAUCCACUGUUGCCUAUGUGGAACAUUUGCUUGUCCUGAUUGCCGAUCAGUGUAUUUAUGGUGUCUGUCUAGUGUCUAAUAAAUGUAUUUUGAUUACAUCAGUUCCAUUCCUCUUCCUUCAUUGGACAUAA